UGCAUGUUCUCAUAUCGGCCAGUGAACCAUGCAUACUACAACAAUCUUUCCUAUAGGUUGAUGUGGAGUGUAAAAUAAUUAAAUUUGAACUUUUUAUUGGUUGUGGAAAUAUUCCUAGUUAUAGGUAGCGCAGUUAAGAGAGCUUUAGCACCUAUUGUUUGCUUUUGUAAUGUAAUUUGAAAAGAUAUUGCUUUUUAUAAUUCAGAUGGGAAUGUUUGCUCUUUCUAAAAGUACAUAAGUCAUGAAAAGGCAAUCCUUGUCUGAGAAGUUCAUCUGCCCUUUCGUUGCCUUCAAAACCACUAUGACAUGGAAUUAAAAUAACCGUGACUGCCGCUUAAUAUUACGAAUUCUUUCUUUGCAGUGAUAACCGCCUUGGAAAAUAUCGUUCCCGAGUGUCGAUCAUGUGUCUGAAAGUAUAAAGCUUGUUGUAUCUCUAUAUCUAUAGGAUACCUGAUAUUUGAUUUUAACGUCUAGCAUUAGGAUGUGCAGAAAAACGCUAAGUGCAUCCUUUGUACCGAACAUGCAAGCUCCAGUCGUCCUGUACAAAAAUAACUAUUCUCUGCUCUUUAUUAACUUUAUUGAUGUUGAUGGAAACACCAUGUAAGAAUGGGUGGCAUAACCGCUAUUUACAUCCAUAAAAUCAUUUUUGCCUGAAGUCCUCUUUACAGCUGUAUUUAAUGUCCGGAAUGACAUCUAAUCUUUUUGCACUUAAAGGAAGGAAUUCCAGAUAAAAUUAUACAAGGACACUGUUGUUAUACAUUUAAGGAGCUCGCUAGGAUAUAUUCUUUAAAGUUGAAGGCAGUGUUUAAAAACAUUUUCGAGGCAAAGUUCUACUAUCUCUAGCUGAUUUAUUAACGUGAGAUGCAGUAAACAAUACGAGACUACGGAUAUAAGCAAAGUUAAAGUGUUUAAAGUUCUUGUUAUGAAUUAACAUUGUCUGUAGAAACUGACAGUGUGGUAGAAUUAAGGUGCUAUUUCCUCAAUCUUACAAAAACUUAGCAGGAAGUACCGUAUUGUACUGAACUUUUCAAAACGUUGGACAUUUCAGAGCAAAUUAAGAGUAGAUGAAAAUGGUUUUCAUGAAAAUAUAAUCGAUCCAAUAUAAUUGCGUGAAAUAUGCAGGCAUAAGACUCAAGAAUUUGUCGUCGUUCCAAAACUGCCUUGCCUGAGGUGGCGCAACUAAGUGGAAGGGGACCUCAAUCAAUUUGGCAUGCGAAACUGGAAGCAGCGAGAUAAAGAUAGAGCUGGCUGGCGAAGCUUGUUGGUUGAGGCCCAAAUCCACAGCGGAUUGUAGCCGCCAAGUUAUUUGAAUAAUUCAUUCCAUCGAUUUUCUGAGAUAAGGAACAAUAAUAAUUGUCAUUGUAGUUGUUUAAUUAUGAGGAUUUUUUUUUUGUGAUGAUGAACUCUUUGGGCAAUGGAUAUACAAUCUCAAAGUGAUUCAGUAUUAUAUUCAUGCGUGUUUGUAUUGCAAACAAAUCUUCAUGUUUUGAUGAUUUUAGAUCGCAGAUCAAAAAGCUUAAGUUUAGUUUAGAACAGUGUUUCUUUCAAUAAUGAUCAUGGUCUGAUAAACUGUUCCAUGGUCCUGUGUUUAGUUACUGGGCGUUUUUGAUGCUUAGCAUGCUGCCUACUAUAAUUGUCUGUACCAUACGCUCUACCCUCAGCUACUAUUUCAUAAGUCAAGCGGUCCGUAUGUAUGUAUUUUUUCCCCUUUCUUACGUAAAGACUGGGAUUCGAAUAACCUCUGCCUAAUCUUUUGAUGGACUUCUCAAUUACGAUGUGCGAUUCCAACAAGAUGGUGUUAAAUACUACUCAGGUGAUCAAACAAUUAAUUAAUUGACGGAAAUAUUCGUUUAUCGUGGAAUCUCACGGCCAUAGAAUUUAACGCUGCUUUAUUUUGAUUUGGUUUUGUUAGUCUCAAGUAAAUAUAUACUAGAAGCUACCAUUUCCGUGAUGAUUGUUAUAAAUAGUUUUGAGCUGUAUUUAUGUUUGUAGAGACUGAUUUGUGAGAUUUCAAAGUACUCUGGUAUGAAAAAAAGAUGCAGAUAUUUAAAAUCAAUAUCAAAUGCUUUUUCUUUUAUUGCUUGCAACACUUUAAAAUAUUAAGGCAAACAGAACAAAAAACUACGGUAAAGUCUGCAUGAGGACUCUACGCCACCAAAUCCGUUCUAGGGAUUUGAAGCACCUUAUACCUACGAACUACAUAUUUUUUAUAAGCAUUUGAUUCUGCUUGGUUCCCCUUUGAGAAUAUUUGUUUUUAUGAAACAAAACUUAUUGGUAGGGACGAGUAUCAACUCAUUAUAAUUUUUUUUUUUCAUAAGCCUAUCUAAAACAACUUUUGAAAAUUUCUUUUGUGUAAAAAAUUAUAAUGAUAACCCUCAACGGAUUAUUUCCGCUCAAGAUCUAGGUCGAAUAUUCAGUUUCUAUUUGAACAACAGUAAAUGUGGCUUCUUAAACCUAAGUAGAAUAUGUUUUCAUUUUCAAAUUUCUCUUGCAUUAUUAUUUUUUGAAUCCAAGAGCCUUGAAUUGAUGAAUUGAAGUGAUGGCAACCCUUAAAUGAUAUAAAUAAAUAAGAAACACACCACAAAUGUGCACUGUACUUAGUAUAAUACAAACAUAAUGUAGGUAUAGGUAUGCGGCUUUUCUCGCAUUUGUUGAGGUUGAGGGUUUUUCUUGACAAUUCUUGAUUUUUCUGAUUGAACAACAUUUCUGCCUUCGAUUGCAUUUUUGUAUAUGCGAAAAACUCGUUUCGCCACGACCGACACACAGAGUAUAUUAAAGAAUGUUGGUUUGGCGAAGUUGAAUACAAAAAAAAAAUAAAAACACAAACUAAGCCGGCUAGAGCACCACCAGAAGUUGUGUCUUCCUUCGGAACAAGGUUCUAGUUUCAUCUUGGAAAGAGUUGGCAGAAGAUGUCGAGAAAAAUGACAAUGGCAUUUUUAAUGUGUAUAAAAAGUAGAAACAUAUAUAGAUUUAUACGAACCCACGUUAAAAUUAAACGAACGAAUAAAAGGAAGGAAGAAGAAUUUUUCAUAUUUUCCACCCAACUCAAAAUGAUGGAGAAUA